GCUUAUGCGUUGUUGGGUAGGGGAGCGUUCUGUAAGCCUGCGAAGGUGGCCUGUGAGGGUUGCUGGAGGUAUCAGAAGUGCGAAUGCUGACAUAAGUAACGAUAAAGCGGGUGAAAAGCCCGCUCGCCGGAAGACCAAGGGUUCCUGUCCAACGUUAAUCGGGGCAGGGUGAGUCGACCCCUAAGGCGAGGCCGAAAGGCGUAGUCGAUGGGAAACGGGUUAAUAUUCCCGUACUUGGUGUUACUGCGAAGGGGGGACGGAGAAGGCUAUGUUGGCCGGGCGACGGUUGUCCCGGUUUAAGCGUGUAGGCUGGUUUUCCAGGCAAAUCCGGAAAAUCAAGGCUGAGGCGUGAUGACGAGGCACUACGGUGCUGAAGCAACAAAUGCCCUGCUUCCAGGAAAAGCCUCUAAGCAUCAGGUAACAUCAAAUCGUACCCCAAACCGACACAGGUGGUCAGGUAGAGAAUACCAAGGCGCUUGAGAGAACUCGGGUGAAGGAACUAGGCAAAAUGGUGCCGUAACUUCGGGAGAAGGCACGCUGACACGUAGGUGAAGUGAUUUACUCACGGAGCUGAAGUCAGUCGAAGAUACCAGCUGGCUGCAACUGUUUAUUAAAAACACAGCACUGUGCAAACACGAAAGUGGACGUAUACGGUGUGACGCCUGCCCGGUGCCGGAAGGUUAAUUGAUGGGGUCAGCGCAAGCGAAGCUCCUGAUCGAAGCCCCGGUAAACGGCGGCCGUAACUAUAACGGUCCUAAGGUAGCGAAAUUCCUUGUCGGGUAAGUUCCGACCUGCACGAAUGGCGUAAUGAUGGCCAGGCUGUCUCCACCCGAGACUCAGUGAAAUUGAACUCGCUGUGAAGAUGCAGUGUACCCGCGGCAAGACGGAAAGACCCCGUGAACCUUUACUAUAGCUUGACACUGAACAUUGAGCCUUGAUGUGUAGGAUAGGUGGGAGGCUUUGAAGUGUGGACGCCAGUCUGCAUGGAGCCGACCUUGAAAUACCACCCUUUAAUGUUUGAUGUUCUAACGUGGACCCGUUACCCGGGUUGCGGACAGUGUCUGGUGGGUAGUUUGACUGGGGCGGUCUCCUCCUAAAGAGUAACGGAGGAGCACGAAGGUUGGCUAAUCCUGGUCGGACAUCAGGAGGUUAGUGCAAUGGCAUAAGCCAGCUUGACUGCGAGCGUGACGGCGCGAGCAGGUGCGAAAGCAGGUCAUAGUGAUCCGGUGGUUCUGAAUGGAAGGGCCAUCGCUCAACGGAUAAAAGGUACUCCGGGGAUAACAGGCUGAUACCGCCCAAGAGUUCAUAUCGACGGCGGUGUUUGGCACCUCGAUGUCGGCUCAUCACAUCCUGGGGCUGAAGUAGGUCCCAAGGGUAUGGCUGUUCGCCAUUUAAAGUGGUACGCGAGCUGGGUUUAGAACGUCGUGAGACAGUUCGGUCCCUAUCUGCCGUGGGCGCUGGAGAACUGAGGGGGGCUGCUCCUAGUACGAGAGGACCGGAGUGGACGCAUCACUGGUGUUCGGGUUGUCAUGCCAAUGGCACUGCCCGGUAGCUAAAUGCGGAAGAGAUAAGUGCUGAAAGCAUCUAAGCACGAAACUUGCCCCGAGAUGAGUUCUCCCUGAGACUUAGAGUCUCCUGAAGGAACGUUGAAGACGACGACGUUGAUAGGCCGGGUGUGUAAGCGCAGCGAUGCGUUGAGCUAACCGGUACUAAUGAACCGUGAGGCUUAACCUUACAACGCCGAAG
rnacentral:rRNA from 1 species